GACGAACGCUGGCGGCGUGCCUAAUACAUGCAAGUAGAACGCUGAAGGAGGAGCUUGCUUCUCUGGAUGAGUUGCGAACGGGUGAGUAACGCGUAGGUAACCUGCCUGGUAGCGGGGGAUAACUAUUGGAAACGAUAGCUAAUACCGCAUAAGAGUAGAUGUUGCAUGACAUUUGCUUAAAAGGUGCAAUUGCAUCACUACCAGAUGGACCUGCGUUGUAUUAGCUGGUUGGUGGGGUAACGGCUUACCAAGGCGACGAUACAUAGCCGACCUGAGAGGGUGAGCUGCCACACUGGGACUGGGACACGGCCCAGACUACUACGGGAGGCAGCAGUAGGGAAUCUUCGGCAAUGGACGGAAGUCUGACCGAGCAACGCCGCGUGAGUGAAGAAGGUUUUCGGAUCGUGAAGCUCUGUUGUAAGAGAAGAACGGGUGUGAGGGUGGAAAGGUCACACUGUGACGGUAUCUUACAAGAAAGGGACGGCUAACUACGUG
rnacentral:rRNA from 1 species